AUCCAGGGGGGCCCUGUGUGGGACCUUAGGUGGAGCUGCGAGGGCACGUGACUAGCGUACCUCCUCCCAAAGCUAAUGGCCCGGGCAGGCGGCGCUGAACGCACCCUUUAUUCUAGAGGCCAGCCCGCUUCGUUCCUGCUCAAAAGAGGAUUUAACCCAGCCUUAGUGAGCAGGUGGCCAACAGCUGCUCCCUGGACAGAGCAAGAGUGUCUCGGCCGCUGUAGAGGGGCCCAGAUGCUGCCCCUCUGCGUGAGAAUGUUCCCUCCCGGCAGAGACAAGUACUCUGCAGAGCUGCCUGCCCAGGGCCAUCUGCCAGGGAAAGGGGAUGCAGGGAGAAGAAGCUGGCCCCAACCCAGCGUGCUCCUGUCCCAGGAUUUCUGUGAUGGGAACGUGAUUGUGAAGCCUGCGGUCCUAGAAGACUGCUUACCAGCUCCUCAUCCCUUCUUUGCUAUUUCCUGGGAGUUGCUGCCAAUCUAGACCCCGUGGACUUGUAGAUUUACAUCAUCUGUGCUAUUGGUUACAUCUGCCUGGAAAACUCUGCCGAAUUCAUUUUAAAAAUACACGGUUGAAAUGAUUUCCCUUAAUACCCCAGCAAACCUCCACAUGGCUAUUUUGUAGUCGAGGCAGGCUCCACUUUAAUCUACUCCAGAGCCACUUACAUUCUCUGCACCUGGAAUGAGAAUAUCCACAUCAGUUAUGUUUCCUGUGUUUCAGCAAAGGCUACAAGUCAAAACUAUAAUUUUGGUCCCGGGAUGAACUAGAAGGUACUGGAGGUGCUUGAUCUGUGAAAUUGGUUUUGAAAGACACAGGGAUUUUUUAAUUCUGCCAAUUCAAAGUCCGGUUAGUUUGUUGCUUUUUCAGUGCCCUUUGAAGAGCCUGUGUGACAAGUGAGUGAUGCCAGUUACAGUUCAUCAUGGCAUUCAUGGUCCUAGUACCUUGGCCAGGGCAGAGCGCCCUCCUCAAUGAAAGGCAUCAUGUCUUAUUUCUAGCUAACCGAGGUCCUGCAUUCCUGCAAGAGUAACUUACACUCAACCCACCCCAUAGAUUUUCCACUGCCACCAGCUUCAUGACAGGUUCUGACCCUCAGAAAACCUAAAAAAAAUAGACUGAGAGCCAGGAUGCCUGCCACCCCAGGGCUGGAUCACUAAUACUUAUACCUGCCAUUUUUUGAGUCCCAACCCAUAUCAGCUCCUGCCUCAGGUGCUUUGCACAUAUCACCUC
ensembl:lncRNA